GGGGUACUCGAGUGGCGAACGGGUGAGUAACACGUGGGUGAUCUGCCCUGCACUUUGGGAUAAGCCUGGGAAACUGGGUCUAAUACCGAAUAUGACCACACUCUUCCUGGUGUGUGGUGGAAAGCUUUUGCGGUGUGGGAUGGGCCCGCGGCCUAUCAGCUUGUUGGUGGGGUAAUGGCCUACCAAGGCGACGACGGGUAGCCGGCCUGAGAGGGUGACCGGCCACACUGGGACUGAGAUACGGCCCAGACUCCUACGGGAGGCAGCAGUGGGGAAUAUUGCACAAUGGGCGCAAGCCUGAUGCAGCGACGCCGCGUGAGGGAUGACGGCCUUCGGGUUGUAAACCUCUUUCAAUAGGGACGAAGCGCAAGUGACGGUACCUAUAGAAGAAGGACCGGCAACUACGUGCCAGCAGCCGCGGUAAUACGUAGGGUCCGAGCGUUGUCCGGAAUUACUGGGCGUAAAGAGCUCGUAGGUGGUUUGUCGCGUUGUUCGUGAAAACUCACAGCUUAACUGUGGGCGUGCGGGCGAUACGGGCAGACUAGAGUACUGCAGGGGAGACUGGAAUUCCUGGUGUAGCGGUGGAAUGCGCAGAUAUCAGGAGGAACACCGGUGGCGAAGGCGGGUCUCUGGGCAGUAACUGACGCUGAGGAGCGAAAGCGUGGGGAGCGAACAGGAUUAGAUACCCUGGUAGUCCACGCCGUAAACGGUGGGUACUAGGUGUGGGUUUCCUUCCUUGGGAUCCGUGCCGUAGCUAACGCAUUAAGUACCCCGCCUGGGGAGUACGGCCGCAAGGCUAAAACUCAAAGAAAUUGACGGGGGCCCGCACAAGCGGCGGAGCAUGUGGAUUAAUUCGAUGCAACGCGAAGAACCUUACCUGGGUUUGACAUGCACAGGACGCCAGUAGAGAUAUUGGUUCCCUUGUGGCCUGUGUGCAGGUGGUGCAUGGCUGUCGUCAGCUCGUGUCGUGAGAUGUUGGGUUAAGUCCCGCAACGAGCGCAACCCUUGUCUCAUGUUGCCAGCACGUAAUGGUGGGGACUCGUGAGAGACUGCCGGGGUCAACUCGGAGGAAGGUGGGGAUGACGUCAAGUCAUCAUGCCCCUUAUGUCCAGGGCUUCACACAUGCUACAAUGGCCGGUACAAAGGGCUGCGAUGCCGUGAGGUGGAGCGAAUCCUUUCAAAGCCGGUCUCAGUUCGGAUCGGGGUCUGCAACUCGACCCCGUGAAGUCGGAGUCGCUAGUAAUCGCAGAUCAGCAACGCUGCGGUGAAUACGUUCCCGGGCCUUGUACACACCGCCCGUCACGUCAUGAAAGUCGGUAACACCCGAAGCCGG
rnacentral:rRNA from 1 species